UACUCCAAACACAAUGAUCACCAC
rnacentral:siRNA from 1 species